UAAUACGUAGGAUGCAAGCGUUGUUCGGAAUUACUGGGCGUAAAGAGUACGUAGGCGGUCUUGUAAGUCUGAUAUUAAAGACUGGAGCUUAACUCCAGGACUGUAUCGGAAACUACAAAACUAGAGGACAAUAGAGGAAGUCGGAAUUCUCAGUGUAGCGGUGAAAUGCGUAGAUAUUGGGAAGAACACCAGUGGCGAAAGCGGACUUCUGGGUUGUUACUGACGCUGAGGUACGAAAGCGUGGGGAGCAAACGGGAUUAGAUACCCCGGUAGUCCACGCUGUAAACGAUGGAUACUAGGUGUAGCCGGUCUCGACCCCGGCUGUGCCGCAGCUAACGCAAUAAGUAUCCCGCCUGGGGAGUAUGGCCGCAAGGUUG
rnacentral:rRNA from 1 species